GAGCACAUGAUGACAGUACAUAGCCAUGUGCUGCUUGCAUUGUAGAGUAUAAUUUGUCUGCUCGAACAUACAACUGCCUGCUUCACCUUUCAUGUUGGUCUAUUAAAUUGCCCUCACACAGCGUUAUUUGGGGAUCAAAACAAUCCAUUAAUAAUUUCUCAAAUUUCUCAUCUAUCAGUCGUUUUUUUUUUUAAAGGGUUAAUCUUCCUCAAAAUAGGUUUCAAGCUUAUUUUCUUUUAAAGAAUCAAAAGUGACUUUUUAUAACAAGAGAGUAUCUAGGUCUCUUUCUUCCUCGUGCUCUGGGACUGUUUUUUUUUUGUUUGUUUUUUAAAUUUUGAUAUAUUUUUGAGGCAGAGCCCCGUAGAAACCGCCCCUGUCCUGAAGAAAAUUCGACGCGUGGAUCGAGAAUUCCGUGCGCGGUGGCUGAUAAAAAUUGAAACUUUCCGUUCUUCCAGGCGUAUUCUUCUUCGGCCUCUUGGUUCUUUUCAAGAAUGAAGAGAUAAGCUCCUCUCUCUCUCUCUCUCUCUCGUUGGUUGCUCUGUUGCCGUCCCUCUCAAUGGCAGAGAACUGUACAAUUGGCCACUUCGGGAUGAGAUUACGUGAGAAUAUGGAAGAAGUCAUGGGAGCUUGAUGAAUUGGCUGCUUUAUUUCUUCUUUAUUUCCGUUAUUUUGAGGUAAAAGAUGGGUCUUGGCGCUCCCUGUCUUGCUGACUUUUCCGGGCGGUUUCCUGUUAACAUCAUUCCUUUUGAGUGAAAUUUUAUGAAACUUGGAGGAAUUCAUGAAUUUUAUCUGAAUAUUUCUCCUUUUUCGCUUCCACUGACCCAAUUUUUGGCCUCUAAUUCAUUCAAAUUGGCUUCUUUUCUUGAAUUGUGACCCAAAGUUUUGAUUUUUUUUUCUUCGAUCUUGUAUGGUGGAGAUGAUCUCUUCGCCUCUUCGUAGCUUCUUUCGUAUCCGAAGAGAGUUCUGGAAAAGCUGAGGAGCUCGUGAUAUUUGGUUGCGAAGCUCCUUUCUGAUGUUGUAUUCUCCUCGCGGGUCCGUUCGCGAUCCCUUUUUCCCUGGCACGAGCUCCUCAAAAGCUCCCCCCUAUCUGGGCGUCUAAAUUUCCAAGAAAUGGGUCCUUCUUUGCAGUCUAUUGAUGGUGUGGUGGGGGAAAUCAUGAGGAUUCAUCGAUCUCUUCCGCCACGGCCGGGCAUUGACGAAGUCGAGGCGGCGAUGGCCUUGGUCCGCAACGUGGACACGGAGGAGCAGGCCCGCAUUGAUGCCAUAUCGAAGCAGAAGAAGGGAUUCGGGAUCCCCGAGGAGCUCUUCUUUGUGCUUCAGGAGAUGCAGAAGAAUCAGGUUUACUUUCAGGGCAAGGAGCAGAAGAGGGAGGCUUUGAAGUUGCUUGAUCUGGAGAACAUCCACUUGUUGUUCGAUGAAUUGAUUCAGAGGGCCUCCAAGUGCGUUCCUUCCAGCUCAAAUGCGUCGGCUCGAUCGAUUUCUGCAAGCUCAGCGAAAGUUACUGCAGCCAGUUCCAGGACUAGCUUCGACACUAACCCUACUGUUUCAUCUGUUGUUCACUCAGAGAAAGGGGUUGGAAGGAGUUUUGAGGGCGUUAGUAUGGAUGACAGUUACUUGAAGAAAGCAAAGCCCACAAUGUAUGCUGAUGGAUUUGGGAGUGGUGACUCUCAUGCAUCGCGAGGAUUGUUGCUGAAUCCUACAACUAGGCCUCAGGCUACUUCUGGAGAAGAUGGUGAGAAACUGAAUCUUAUUAAACUAGCUAGCUUGAUAGAGGUUGCUGCAAAGAAAGGCAACCGGGAUCUCAACCUUCAAAACAAGCUUAUGGAUCAAGUUGACUGGUUACCUGAUUCGAUAGGGAAGCUUUCUGGUCUGGUCACUCUUGAUCUUUCAGAAAAUCGAAUUAUUCUCCUGCCAGCCACUAUUGGUGCUCUUUCUUCACUAGAAAAGUUGGACCUCCACUCUAAUCAGAUAGCUGAGCUUCCUGACUCUAUUGGAGAUCUUUAUAUCCUGUUAUAUCUGGAUCUGAGGGGGAACCAGUUAAUAUCAUUGCCCUCUACAAUAGGGAAGUUGGCACAUCUUGAGGAACUUGACCUGAGCUCAAACCAGCUCUCCUUGCUCCCAGAUGCAAUUGGAAAUCUUGUACGUUUGAAGAAGUUAAACAUUGAAACAAAUGAUAUUGAAGAACUUCCACAUACUAUUGGUCACUGUGUCUCUCUUGUUGAACUUCGAGCAGAUUAUAAUCGGCUGAAAGGCCUCCCAGAAGCUGUUGGGAGGAUGGAAUCUCUGGAGAUUCUCUCUGUCCGGUACAACAAUAUCAAAGGACUUCCAACCACCAUGGCAUCCCUGUCAAAACUGAAGGAGGUUGAUGUCAGCUUCAAUGAGCUUGAAUCGGUGCCUGAGAGCUUAUGCCUUGCAACUACACUUGUCAAGCUGAAUAUAGGAAAUAAUUUUGCUGAUUUGCAAUCUCUCCCACGCUCCAUUGGCAAUCUUGAAAUGCUAGAAGAGUUGGACAUUAGCAACAAUCAGAUUAGGGUCCUUCCAGACUCUUUUGGGAUGUUGUCACAACUCCGCGUGCUUCAUGCAGAAGAGAACCCUUUGGAGUUGCCACCAAGGCAUAUUGCUGAAAUGGGUGCACAGGCUGUUGUACAAUACAUGGCUGAACAUGUUGCAAAGAAAGAUGGGAAGUUGCAACCAGUAAAAAGUAAGAAGGGUUGGGCUAAGUUUCGCUUUUCCCUCAGGUCACAAAAGAAACAUGAUGGCUUGGUAUAUAUAUCCUGAUUUUGUGAAGCUAUAAGGGAAUACAUCUUUGUGAUGUUGUUAGAAUACAUUAUCAUGACGCAAGUAAUCUUCUCCAGACUAACAUAAAAGAAGUCGUCGAAGAUGUGAAUCUAAUCUUUGCCUUGGGACUUGUGUACAAUUCCUCCUUCAGUCAUAACUAGAUAACUGGUCUUGCUACGGGCAGUUUUAGCUUUCCUAACAAGCAUUACCUUGUUGUAAAAGAGAUUUUUCCAAUUAAAUUACCUGCAAAAAAAGCAUAGCCUUUUUUUUUUUGUGGGACCCGGCAAUUUUAUGAGUGAUUCUUAAGAUUGUGAUUGUUAAUCUAGAUCGUUUCUGGCGGUUGCUGUUACGUGCUUUGUGAUUGUUAGGGGAGCAGGUGUUUCUUGAUAUGGUGUUAUUUUGCCCUUCCAAUAUCUUCACUGAGUUAUUCAUUUGCAUGUUCGUUCUUUAGCAUCCACGGACUACAUGAUGACUUAAUGUGCUGCAUCCCGACAUUAUUGGAGGUAGGCCAUCAAAUUGGUGGUAUGAUUUUGCUCCCUGAACAUAUUUUCUCAUGCUAUGUCAUUUGCCAUGCAGUAAAAUCUUAGAUCUUCCUCUCCUGUUUUGUCAUCAGCUGAAACUUAUUUCUGGUCCCUCUGAAGAAUGUAAUCGAAAAGAUUUGUUGUAUAUGAAAUAUAUCAAGCUCUUCAUGUCCGUGGCUCCAUAUGUUGUAUAUACUUCCUUGUGACCUCUUCAUGGUCCGCAUGACCGUUAUGUUGGACAAUUUAUGAGGGAAGGAUGAAGGGGAAAAUAAUCCAUCCUUACAAGAACUUGACUGACUUCUUCAUGCAUUCAUUACUUUCUUGCAAGAGGCCAGCCUUCUUGUUCUGAAGAUACAAGAUAAAGUUGUGGCCACCCGAUCCAUUGGUAGACACCAACCACUUGUAUUGGUGAUGCCAGUGUCAUAUGAAUUCCUGAGAUCCUGCUGACACUGACUCUCGAGCCUUAACCCAUCAGUUUUGGACCAGCUCUGCCUAAUGAUUUCUUAUCCAAGAUCAGCUUCUCAGCAGAAAAAAGUUGGGAUUAUCUUGUGGAACUCAAAACUUUUUUUCUUUUUUGUUCUUGUUCCACGUAUCGUGAGAAUUCUGCAGACUAGUCGCCGAUAAAUGAUCAGUGGAUGAGUUCAUAUGAAGUGGAACAGAAAGCAUUGGUCUUUCUUUUUAUCAAUUUUUAUUCAUGUGACUGGCAACUAUGGGAGAUGUAGCAAAUGUACCUAUCAUUCAUUAGUGUUUUCUGUUAGGGAAAAAAUGGAUCA